rnacentral:tRNA from 1 species
GCGGACGUGGUGGAAUGGUAGACACGCUAGCUUGAGGGGCUAGUGGGCUAACGCCUGUGGAGGUUCGAGUCCUCUCGUCCGCACCA